UACGAAGGGGGCGAGCGUUGUUCGGAUUUACUGGGCGUAAAGGGCGCGUAGGCGGCCGAUCAAGUCAGGCGUGAAAGCCCCGGGCUCAACCUGGGAAUGGCGCUUGGGACUGGUUGGCUUGAGUUCGGGAGAGGAGAGUGGAAUUCCCAGUGUAGAGGUGAAAUUCGUAGAUAUUGGGAAGAACACCGGUGGCGAAGGCGGCUCUCUGGACCGAGACUGACGCUGAGG
rnacentral:rRNA from 1 species